rnacentral:rRNA from 1 species
AACGAACGCUGGCGGCAUGCCUAACACAUGCAAGUCGAACGAGACCUUCGGGUCUAGUGGCGCACGGGUGCGUAACGCGUGGGAACCUGCCUUUAGGUUCGGAAUAACUCAGAGAAAUUUGAGCUAAUACCGGAUGAUGUCUUCGGACCAAAGAUUUAUCGCCUUUGGAUGGGCCCGCGUUGGAUUAGCUAGUUGGUGGGGUAAAGGCCUACCAAGGCGACGAUCCAUAGCUGGUCUGGGAGGAUGAUCAGCCACACUGGGACUGAGACACGGCCCAGACUGCGAGGGGAGGCAGGAGGGGGGAAUAUGGGAAAAGGGGGGAAAGCAUAAACAAGCAAUGCGGGGGAAGUGAGGAAGGCGUGGGGGUAGAAAAGCUCUUUUACCGGAAAGGAAAAUGACAGUAGCGGAAAAAAAAGCUCCGGCUAACUACGUG